rnacentral:lncRNA from 1 species
CGUCCAUGAAGUCCUUCUGCAUUGGUUGCACUGACUACAUAUCGCCCUCAAGUCAUGGAAGGAGCGUCCAUCAAAGAUAGGCGGAGAGCUUGGAUCAACAGCCGACAGUGCACCACUUUGGAGGAACCUCAAGGGUUGUUAUCCACCUCGAUGAUUGACGACAAUGUCUUCCCAGAUGAAAAGAUUGAGAGCUGGCUUCGUGGCUGUAGGUGAGUCAACCUUUUUUGUUUUUAAGAUGCGAUUCAUUGAAUGUUGAUGAGAGGUGAUGAAGGGAACAUGUAACUCAUUGGAAACGGAUGACUUCAGAGAGUGGAAAGUCUGUAGCUGUAAAGAUGCU